GUGGAGGUAAGGCUUUUUUUUUUGCUUAAUGCACUUGUUAGAGUUUUAGUGAGUUAAUGUCAAAACAACAAAUGGGCGAAUGUUUCACAUAUGUAUGUUACUUACAGAGUGUUUUUUUUCUAUCUAGUGCUAGCUGAUAUCAGCUGACUGGAUGCUGGCUGUCGGUUGAUUAUCGGCUAUGUAGCCUAGCCAAUUUAUGGUGGCUAUUGAAAAGUAAAAGAACGGAAUAAUUUGAAGACCGCUCCAUCUAGCUCCCUCCACAGCCAGACACAGCAACGAUCCUCCAGCUCCAUUCAGGCCGUGAAGGUGGACAGCUUUCUCUGAGCUGCUUUGGCCGUUUGCUGUUUGCUCAGCCUCCUGUUCCUCUCACGGAUUUCCCCCCCGAGCCUGCACAUCACAAAUUUUUUUAUUGCUAUUGUCUCCAAUAGAAUUGCAUGCUCAGGGUGUGAGCUGAAGAGGCUUUUGAACACCCCCAGACUGCCCAGAGCCCUCUCCAUUUUUUUGGUGAUCUGGGUGAGAGGCCAGAAAGCGUCGAUGUUCCGUCCAAAUUCCCUCUCCAAAAGCUGGAUGGCAGCGAAAAACCCUUCCGAAGGCCUCAUUAGGUUUGCCGUUGCCGUGUAUUUUUUUGCCUCCAGGAAGGGGUGGUCCUCACUUGUGGCGUAGCUGUGGUCCUGAUGUCUGGCACCCAACAACAGCACCUCACAGUGUGGACAGGCCUGAACAAUUUCCUCCUUUUGAAGGACCCGGACAAGCCAGCCAGCAACGUAGAACAGGCCCUCCUCCUGGAUGCAAUCGCCAACAGUCUACAAGGUGGUAGGGAGGGCCAUUGAGGUCAUUGGAGCUGUUGAGGUGGAGGGGAUUGCGUCCUCUGACAUACUGGCUAGGAGGGUUGUCCCGUCAUCCAGCUCGCAGUUUGAUGCAGUCGAUGCAGAAAGAGCAGAAGGUGAGGGACAUCAAAAAUCACAGGAACCCUCUGAACCCCCACCAGGAUACAGUGGGACUCCUCACCUCCCAGAGGGUCCAGGCUAGCCCCAAGGUUCCGCACAGCCUUCACAUUAGGGCUUCCCUGGUCACAUAUUACUGCCUGCACCUUUGAAAUUGGUUAAUACAUUGUUGUCAAUACAAGGUUGGAGUUAAUGUUCAUUUGUUCAUUGUUAAUGCUGCUAUUUAAAAAAUAAAUAAUAAUACAACUCUUCGCACUACAUACUGUCAGCCCUAUAUGAUGUAGGUGGCGAAUGGCAUCCUUAAUGACGGUAGCAAUAUCAUCUGCUGGCAUUGAAGAUGGGGAAAAGAAGUAACCAACCGUCUGUUGAAAGAAAUGCCUUAGGACGAGCGUACACAUCCUCUCCACAGGGGUCAUGGUGGCGGCGAUGACUCCCAUUUGGGAGAUGAUUCCCUGUAGGAAGCCAGGCUGUCAGGAAAUAAAAGUUGUGCCCUAAUGAAGUUACGGCAGCCCUCAGGACACCUCUGGAGCAUCUCCUCCAUAAUUUCAUGGGGACUACGAAAGAACAAGAGGUGGGGAGGCAAGUGGUGGCGGGUUGUCGCAAUCCACCAGUGUGGGGAUGGCAUCUCUGUUGGAUCUUGAUGCUGUGGCAACGGACAAGUCUUCUUCCUCUUUUAUUAUAUUGUUGUUCCUCUGUCCUUUUUUCCCUGCCUAUGUUCAGUUCUCUUUUUUUUUUCUAAAUGAUUUACUAUGUUACUGUUCUUAUUGUGUUCUUGUGUGAUGUUUGAAUAAACUUGCCUGUUGCAAUGUUGGUAUGUUUGUAUAAUUACUGUUAUACAACUGUUACUGUUUCAACGUGUCCUAGACCAUACUUCUCAUUUAACAAACAUGUGUAGCUUAUAAUGUGUUGCAGGGCAGAGCAAUUAUAUUCAAUGGCUUAAAACAAACCCAUCUGUAAAGAUCACUGAAUGCAUAGAAAUCAAUGACAAGUGGUGUAGAUGGUUUUCCCUCUGUGCAAGGUCAUUAGC